rnacentral:tRNA from 1 species
GAGGGUAUAGCUCAAUGGUAGAGUGCCUGCCUAGCAUGCACAAGGUCAUAGGUUCAAUCCCCAGUCCCUCCA